rnacentral:lncRNA from 1 species
AUGAAGUUGGUAUUUUUUGUAGUCUCUCUUAACCAUGGUGUACUAUGUUAUGACUCAGUAAUUUUUGUCCCACUCUAUGGAAGCGAGAAAAAGGCUGACUUCUGAAACUAUUGGGUAGUAGCUUAGCAGAUGAAAGAAAACAAUCUCUCAUCCUAAGGAAAGAGGAGAGCUAUGGGCAGACCACACACAUCAACCACACUCUUCUCUCUCCGCUGUCUCCUCAGCCGUUCAUGUGGCAAAGGUGUUAUGUAGGCUAACACAUGCAAAGCUGUGCGCACAGUGCUUGCAAGGCAUCAGUGGGCCCAUGAAAAUGAGCUUCCCACCACUUGCUGUGCUAUGCUAGCUGGCUUGAUUUGUCGCAUUCACCAUUGAAUAAUGCUGGUGCCUGCCUAUGGAGGUAUGGUAAGUCUGUUGAGUUUUUUCCCCCUCUCUCUCCCCACAUCCCCCGACCCAUA